ACUCCUACGGGAGGCAGCGGUGGGGAAUAUUGGUCAAUGGGCGCAAGCCUGAACCAGCCAUGCCGCGUGCAGGAAGACGGUCCUAUGGAUUGUAAACUGCUUUUAUACAGGAAGAAACCCUCCCACGUGUGGGAGAUUGACGGUACUGUAGGAAUAAGGAUCGGCUAACUCCGUGCCAGCAGCCGCGGUAAUAC
rnacentral:rRNA from 1 species